GGCCUGCCGUUUGCAAAGCCCUGCCUAAAGGCAAUCAACGCCGAUUGCCAUAUUCACGACAAAGGCGCCGU
rfam:Pseudomonas lutea strain DSM 17257 Contig002, whole genome shotgun sequence.